rnacentral:rRNA from 1 species
GAUGAACGCUGGCGGCGUGCUUAACACAUGCAAGUCGAACGAGGUCCAACCUUCGGGUGAAGACCUAGUGGCGAACGGGUGAGUAACACGUGGGGAACCUGCCCUUCUCUCUGGGAUAACGUCGAGAAAUCGGUGCUAAUACCGGAUACUCCUUGCGGAUCGCAUGGUCUGCUCGGGAAAGCUCCGGCGGAGAUGGAUGGCCCCGCGGCCCAUUAGCUAGUUGGUGAGGUAACGGCCCACCAAGGCGACGAUGGGUAGCCGAGCUGAGAGGCUGAUCGGCCACACUGGGACUGAGACACGGCCCAGACUCCUACGGGAGGCAGCAGUGGGGAAUUUUGCACAAUGGGCGCAAGCCUGAUGCAGCAACGCCGCGUGCGGGAUGAAGGCCCUCGGGUUGUAAACCGCUUUCAGCAGGGACGAAACUGACGGUACCUGCAGAAGAAGCCCCGACUAACUACGUGCCAGCAGCCGCCGUAAAAC